UGGGCGUGCGUCUUUAGGUAGUUGGUGAGGUAAACGGGCUCACCCAAGCCGACGAUCAGUAAACUGGCGUGAAGCGCGACCCAGUCACACGGGGCCACUGAGACCACGGGGCCCCGACUCCUACGGGGAGCAAGCCAGUUAAGGGAAAUAUUUGGGUCGAAUGGGACGGGAAAGUUCUGAAACCCAGCAUGCCCGCGUGGGAGGGAUGAAAGGGCCCUUCUGGGGUUGUUAAAACUUUCUUUUUUUUGGGGACGAAAACCACUUUCUUUUUUCUUAAGGAAGCUUUGACGGGUACCCAGAAUGAUAAGCCACCCGGGCUAAACUCCCGUGCCCAGCGAGCCCGCGGUUAAUACGGAAGGGGCGAAGCGUUAUUCCCGGAUUUCACUGGGGUUUAAAAGGGGUGCGUAGGGCGGACCAUGAAGUUCCGUGGUGAAAUUCUCCGAGCUUAACUCGGAAACUGCCAUGGAUACUAUAUGUUGAAUGUUGUGGAGGUUAGCGGAAUAUGUCAUGUAGCGGUGAAAUGCAUAGAUAUGAC
rnacentral:rRNA from 1 species